UACGUAGGGUGCGAGCGUUGUCCGGAAUUAUUGGGCGUAAAGAGCUCGUAGGCGGUGUGUCACGUCGGCCUGAACUGAACCAGCGUUAACUGUGGCGGUCGUCGGCUCGAUACGGGCGAUCACUGGAGUUCGGCAGGGAGGAGCUGGAAUUCCUGGUGUAGCGGUGAAAUGCGCAGAUAUCAGGAGGAACACCGGUGGCGAAGGCGGGUCUCUGGGCCGAUACUGACGCUGAGGAGCGAAAGCGUGGGGAGCAAACAGG
rnacentral:rRNA from 1 species